rnacentral:rRNA from 1 species
AGGAUGAACGCUGGCGGUCUGCUUAACACAUGCAAGUCGAACGGGCGUAGCAAUACGUUAGUGGCGGACGGGUGAGUAACGCGUGAGAAUCUACCUUCAGGACGGAGACAACAGUUGGAAACGACUAGCUAACCCCCGAUGUACCGAAAGGGCAAAUAUUUAUAGCCUGAAGAAGAGCUCGCGUCCGAUUAGCUAGUUGGAGAGGUAAAAGCUCACCAAGGCGACGAUCGGUAGCU